rnacentral:rRNA from 1 species
UGGGGAAUAUUGCGCAAUGGGCGAAAGCCUGACGCAGCAACGCCGCGUGAGUGAUGAAGGCCUUCGGGUUGUAAAGCUCUUUCGGCCGAGAAGAAGGGUCAUUUGUCGAAUAGGCAUUUUGAUUUGAUGGUAUCGGAAGAAGAAGCACCGGCUAACUUCGUGCCAGCAGCCGCGGUACUACGAAGGGCGCGAGCGUUGUCCGGAAUUACUGGGGGUAAAGGGCGUGUAGGGGGGGCGUUAAGGCGAAUG